UACGGAGGAGGCUAGCGUUGUUCGGAAUUACUGGGCGUAAAGCGUGCGCAGGCGGUUUUGUAAGUCUGUCGUGAAAUCCCCGGGCGUCAACCUGGGAAUUGCGAUGGAGACUGCAAGGCUAGGAAUCUGGCAGAGGGGGGUAGAAUUCCACGUGUAGCAGUGAAAUGCGUGAGAGAUGUGGGAGGAACACCGGAUGGCGCAAGGGCAGCCCCCUGGGUCGAAGA
rnacentral:rRNA from 1 species